GACGAACCGUACGAACGUUAUUCGGAAUCACUGGGCUUAAAGGGUGCGUAGGCGGCGCAGUAAGUUGGGUGUGAAAUCCCUCGGCUUAACCGAGGAAUUGCGCCCAAAACUACUGUGCUCGAGGGAGGUAGAGGUGAGCGGAACUUAGGGUGGAGCGGUGAAAUGCGUUGAUAUCCUAAGGAACACCAGUGGCGAAGGCGACUCACUGGACACAUAUUGACGCUGAGGUGCGAAAGCGUGGGGAGCAAACAGG
rnacentral:rRNA from 1 species